GAUGAACGCUAGCUACAGGCUUAACACAUGCAAGUCGAGGGGAAACGACAUCGAAAGCUUGCUUUUGAUGGGCGUCGACCGGCGCACGGGUGAGUAACGCGUAUCCAACCUGCCCACCACUUGGGGAUAACCUUGCGAAAGUAAGACUAAUACCCAAUGACGUCUCUAGAAGACAUCUGAAGGAGAUUAAAGAUUUAUCGGUGAUGGAUGGGGAUGCGUCUGAUUAGCUUGUUGGCGGGGUAACGGCCCACCAAGGCGACGAUCAGUAGGGGUGCUGAGAGGAAGGUCCCCCACAUUGGAACUGAGACACGGUCCAAACUCCUACGGGAGGCAGCAGUGAGGAAUGUUGGUCAAUGGGCGAGAGCCUGAACCAGCCAAGUAGCGUGCAGGAUGACGGCCCUAUGGGUUGUAAACUGCUUUUAUAAGGGAAUAAAGUGAGUCUCAUGAGACUUUUUGCAUGUACCUUAUGAAUAAGGACCGGCUAAUUCCGUGCCAGCAGCCGCGGUAA
rnacentral:rRNA from 1 species